rnacentral:rRNA from 1 species
AGUGAACGCUGGCGGUAGGCCUAACACAUGCAAGUCGAACGGCAGCACAGUAAGAGCUUGCUCUUACGGGUGGCGAGUGGCGGACGGGUGAGGAAUACAUCGGAAUCUACUUUUUCGUGGGGGAUAACGUAGGGAAACUUACGCUAAUACCGCAUACGACCUACGGGUGAAAGCAGGGGAUCUUCGGACCUUGCGCGAUUGAAUGAGCCGAUGUCGGAUUAGCUAGUUGGCUGGGUAAAGGCCCACCAAGGCGACGAUCCGUAGCUGGUCUGAGAGGAUGAUCAGCCACACUGGAACUGAGACACGGUCCAGACUCCUACGGGAGGCAGCAGUGGGGAAUAUUGGACAAUGGGCGCAAGCCUGAUCCAGCCAUACCGCGUGGGUGAAGAAGGCCUUCGGGUUGUAAAGCCCUUUUGUUGGGAAAGAAAAGCAGCAGGUUAAUACCCCGCUGUCCUGACGGUACCCAAAGAAUAAGCACCGGCUAACUUCGUG